AAGAAACGAUGAACUUACUUUCGUUGUAGCACUCUCGAUUCUUGGAACACUUGUGCAUUCUACCGACAUGAUGGAUUCACUCGAAGAAAUUUUGCAGGAAUAACCUUUGGUUUAUUGUCAUAGACCAAGUCAGACUUCUGAAACUUAUAUAAUACUCAGUAAUCAAACUUAUAAAUAUUCUACUUUACAAGAAGUCCAACUGUCUUGCAUACUCCCUAGUCCCUGGCAUGCAAAUGUACAUCCUCUCAUACACUUGUCAUCUACGUUUCUUUUUAAAAAAAGUUACUAAUCCCUCUGCAACGCCAUACUUGAGAUUUUUCAACACUCGUCGAUAUCUUCAAUAAAUAGAGGAUCCAAUGUUGAGGUUCCGUACCAGCCCUCAUCGAUAUCUUCAAUAAAUAAAGGAUCCAAUGUUGAGGUUCCGUACCAGCCCU
rnacentral:lncRNA from 1 species